ACUUUUUUAAAUAUAGGACCUUUAACUACAGUUGUCAGAUAAAUGUAUGGAAUAAAAUUAUAAAACAGCAUAAAACAGGAAUUGCCUUCCCACUGCUUGUCACGGUCUUUCCUCUGUGACACCCGCCUGUAGUGAGUGUGUAUAUAUUUAUUAGGCUAUUUCUGCCUUUUAAUAUAUGAAUGAUGUGUGCUUGAUGUGUUUUGGUUUUGCCUGUCUGUUUGGUCGUUUCCCUCCUCCCCCCCUUCUCGUCCUCUCUCUCCUUCUCACACCUGGACAUAAUCUGCAAUCAGCCCACCUGCCUGUCACCUGCAAUCAGCACACCUGUCUACCAAUCAAGCCAGCUUCUCUUCAUUAGGCCUACAUGGUUUGUUAAUGUGCCACGCUUCCUUCCAGCCAACCUGCAUAACCAAAAUCUCCUAUAAUAAAAAAACAAAACCUUUUCACCUA